CCCCUCCCUCCAUUCCUGCUGCCUUAUUGUUAAGGUAGUAGCCUCACACUCUACAAUGUGUUAACCCUUGAGGGCUCAGCCGAGUGCUAGGUCAUCAUUUAGCAGUAGGGCAUUCCCUGGGAACUAUCCCACACUCUGACUUCACCACCUCAACCAAGCUUCACAAUCAUCAUUGCUGUGUACAGUAUUAAAUUAUUUGUUUAAAACUUAUGACUAUGUGUGUGUGUGUGUG